GGCACGGAGGCCGAGCUGUGGACGCGGAGCCGGCGGCGGCGGCGGCGGCGGCGGGAGGAGCCUCUGCAGCCUCCCGCGAAGGUUUCAGCACAAAAUGAACAUAAUUAGGGAAAAUAAGGAUUUGGCAUGUUUCUACACAACAAAACAUUCAUGGAGGGGAAAGUAUAAGCGUGUCUUUUCCAUUGGAACCCAUGCGAUUACUACAUACAAUCCCAAUACCUUAGAAGUAACAAAUCAGUGGCCUUAUGGAGACAUUUGCAGCGUCAGUCCUGUUGGAAAAGGACAAGGAACAGAGUUCAACCUCACAUUUCGUAAAGGCAGUGGGAAAAAGUCUGAAACGUUAAAAUUUUCUACAGAGCACAGGACAGAACUUCUUACAGAAGCAUUGAGAUUUAGAACUGACUUUUCAGAGGGAAAAAUCACAGGAAGGAGAUAUAACUGCUAUAAGCAUCAUUGGAGUGACACAAGAAAACCUGUGAUUUUGGAAGUAACUCCUGGUGGCUUUGACCAGAUAAAUCCUGCAACCAACAGAGUGCUCUGUUCUUAUGACUAUAGAAAUAUUGAAGGCUUUGUAGAUCUCUCUGAUUAUCCAGGAGGGUUUUGCAUACUCUAUGGAGGAUUUAGUAGAUUGCAUUUAUUUGCAUCAGAGCAAAGAGAAGAGAUUAUCAAAAGUGCAAUAGACCAUGCUGGCAACUACAUAGGUAUUUCAUUGCGGAUCAGGAAAGAACCUUUAGAAUUUGAGCAAUAUUUGAAUCUUCGCUUUGGAAAAUACAGCACUGAUGAAUCCAUCACAUCUCUAGCAGAGUUUGUGGUCCAAAAAAUAUCUCCAAGACAUGCGGAACCUGUUAAAAGAGUUCUAGCACUAACAGAAACGUGUUUAGUAGAGCGAGAUCCAGCAACCUAUAAUAUUGCAACAUUGAAGCCUUUAGGAGAAGUAUUUGCAUUGGUUUGUGACUCAGAAAAUCCCCAAGUUUUUACCAUCGAGUUUAUAAAAGGACAAGUUCGAAAAUACUCUUCAACAGAAAGAGAUUCUUUGUUAGCAAGUUUGCUGGAUGGAGUAAGAGCCUCUGGUAACAGAGAUGUUUGUGUAAAAAUGUCAUCGACCCAUAAAGGUCAGCGAUGGGGGUUGCUCAGCAUGCCUGUUGAUGAGGAAGUGGAGAGCCUUCACCUCAGAUUCUUAGCCGCCCCUCCGAAUGGCAACUUUGCAGAUGCUGUAUUCAGGUUCAAUGCUAAUAUUUCAUACAGUGGAGUUCUACACGCAGUAACACAAGAUGGACUCUUCUCAGAAAACAAAGAAAAACUGAUCAACAAUGCCAUCACGGCAUUGUUGUCCCAAGAGGGGGAUGUCGUUGCUUCAAAUGCAGAACUUGAGAGUCAGUUCCAAGCUGUGAGGAGACUUGUGGCUUCCAAAGCUGGGUUUUUGGCCUUCACUCAGCUUCCGAAGUUUCGGGAGCGCCUGGGGGUGAAGGUAGUAAAAGCCCUCAAGAGGAGCAACAAUGGAGUCAUCCACGCCGCUGUUGAUAUGCUUUGUGCUCUUAUGUGUCCCAUGCAUGAUGACUAUGACUUAAGACAAGAACAGCUAAACAAAGCUUCUCUUCUCUCUUCAAAGAAGUUUCUGGAAAACUUGCUGGAGAAAUUUAAUUCCCAUGUGGAUCAUGGGACUGGUGCCCUCGUAAUUAGUUCACUCUUGGACUUCCUUACCUUUGCCCUCUGUGCUCCGUAUAGUGAGACAACGGAAGGGCAGCAGUUUGACAUGCUCUUAGAGAUGGUAGCCUCCAAUGGAAGAACCCUCUUUAAGCUCUUUCAGCAUCCUUCUAUGGCAAUUAUUAAAGGAGCUGGAUUGGUCAUGAAGGCAAUAAUAGAGGAAGGUGACAAAGAAAUUGCUACAAAAAUGCAGGAGCUUGCCCUAAGUGAAGGUGCCUUACCUCGACACUUGCACACCGCGAUGUUUACAAUAAGCUCAGAUCAGAGAAUGCUUACAAAUAGACAGCUAAGUAGACAUUUAGUGGGCCUCUGGACAGCUGAUAAUGCAACCGCGACAAACUUGUUGAAACGCAUUUUGCCACCAGGCUUGUUGGCAUACCUGGACAGCUCAGAUCCAGUCCCCGAGAAGGAUGCUGAUCGCAUGCAUGUUAGAGACAAUGUGAAAAUAGCAAUGGAUCAAUAUGGAAAAUUUAAUAAAGUUCCAGAAUGGCAAAGACUAGCUGGAAAAGCUGCUAAAGAAGUUGAAAAAUUUGCCAAAGAAAAAGUGGAUCUUGUAUUGAUGCAUUGGAGGGAUAGGAUGGGCAUUGCUCAAAAAGAGAAUAUAAACCAAAAGCCAGUAGUACUUCGAAAAAGAAGACAAAGAAUAAAAAUUGAAGCAAAUUGGGAUCUCUUCUAUUAUAGGUUUAGUCAAGACCAUGCUAGAUCAAACCUUAUUUGGAAUUUCAAAACACGAGAAGAACUGAAAGAUACUCUUGAAUCUGAAAUGAGAACGUUUAAUAUUGAUAGAGAACUUGGUAGUGCUAAUGUGAUCUCCUGGAACCACCAUGAAUUUGAGGUUAAGUAUGAGUGCCUGGCAGAAGAAAUUAAAAUAGGAGACUAUUACCUGAGAUUACUAUUGGAGGAGGAUGAGAAUGAGGAAUGCGGAUCAAUUAAGAGAUCGUAUGAAUUUUUCAAUGAAUUGUAUCAUCGCUUCUUGCUCACUCCAAAAGUAAACAUGAAGUGUUUAUGUUUACAAGCCCUUGCUAUUGUUUAUGGCAGAUGCCAUGAAGAAAUAGGACCCUUCACAGAUACGAGAUACAUCAUUGGAAUGCUGGAGAGGUGUACAGAUAAACUUGAACGAGAUAGGUUGAUUCUCUUCCUAAACAAGUUGAUCCUAAAUAAGAACAAUGUUAAGGAUCUCAUGGAUUCAAAUGGAAUUAGAAUUCUUGUGGACUUGCUAACCCUUGCACAUCUUCACGUGAGCCGAGCUACAGUGCCACUGCAAAGCAAUGUCAUUGAGGCUUCUCCAGAUAUGAAAAGAGAAAGUGAGAAGGAAUGGUAUUUUGGCAAUGCAGACAAAGAAAGGAGUGGUCCAUAUGGAUUUCAUGAGAUGCAAGAAUUGUGGACCAAAGGAAUGUUAAAUGCAAAAACCAGAUGCUGGGCUCAAGGCAUGGAUGGAUGGCGACCACUUCAGGCGAUACCUCAGCUUAAGUGGUGUCUGUUAGCCAGUGGACAGGCUGUCCUGAAUGAAACUGACCUUGCUACUCUUAUAUUGAACAUGUUGAUUACAAUGUGUGGAUAUUUUCCAAGCAGGGAUCAGGAUAAUGCCAUCAUUCGUCCUUUACCCAGAGUGAAAAGACUGCUGUCCGAUAGCACCUGCCUUCCCCACAUUAUUCAGCUACUGCUGACCUUCGACCCCAUCCUUGUUGAGAAGGUUGCUAUCUUAUUGUAUCAUAUUAUGCAAGAUAAUCCACAGUUACCUCGCCUUUAUCUGAGUGGAGUGUUUUUCUUUAUCAUGAUGUACACAGGUUCCAAUGUGCUUCCUGUUGCUCGGUUUUUGAAAUACACACAUACCAAGCAAGCUUUCAAAUCUGAGGAGAAUAAAGGACAAGACAUUUUUCAGAGAAGUAUACUUGGACACAUCCUGCCUGAAGCAAUGGUUUGUUACCUAGAAAAUUAUGAACCUGAAAAGUUUUCUGAGAUCUUUCUAGGAGAAUUUGAUACUCCAGAAGCAAUCUGGAGUAGUGAAAUGAGGCGCCUCAUGAUAGAGAAGAUUGCCGCCCAUCUUGCUGACUUCACACCUCGUCUUCAGAGUAAUACACGAGCACUCUAUCAGUAUUGUCCCAUCCCAGUUAUUAAUUACCCACAGCUAGAAAAUGAACUCUUUUGUAAUAUUUAUUACCUCAAACAACUUUGUGAUGCACUCCGGUUUCCAGAUUGGCCAAUUAAAGACCCAGUUAAGCUUCUAAAAGAUACUCUAGAUGCCUGGAAGAAGGAAGUAGAAAAGAAGCCACCUACAAUGUCUGUAGAUGAUGCUUAUGAAGUGCUUAACUUGCCUCAAGGCCAGGGAUCGCACGAUGAAAGCAAAAUCAGAAAAGCUUACUUCCGGCUUGCACAGAAGUACCAUCCUGACAAGAACCCUGAAGGAAGGGAUAUGUUUGAAAAAGUAAAUAAAGCAUAUGAAUUUUUAUGUACCAAGUCAACAAAAGUAGUGGAUGGACCAGAUCCUGAGAAUAUCAUUUUAAUCCUAAAGACACAGAGCAUCCUCUUCAACCGUCAUAAAGAAGAUUUACAGCCUUAUAAAUAUGCAGGAUACCCUAUGCUAAUUAGGACGAUAACCAUGGAGACUUCAGAUGACCUCCUUUUCUCAAAAGAGUCACCACUGUUGCCUGCAGCUGCAGAGCUGGCUUUCCACACUGUCAACUGUUCAGCCCUCAAUGCUGAAGAGCUCAGGAGAGAGAAUGGAAUAGAGGUGUUACAGGAGGCAUUUAGUCGCUGUGUGGCUGUCUUGAAUCGCUCUAGUAAACCAGGUGACAUGUCAGUACAGGUGUGUGGACACAUAAGUAAAUGCUACAGUGUUGCUGCACAGUUUGAAGAAUGCCGAGAGAAGAUCACAGAAAUGCCUGCUAUCAUCAAGGAUCUCUGCCGGGUGCUGUAUUUUGGCAAGAGUAUUCCUCGGGUGGCUGCUCUUGGGGUAGAAUGUGUCAGUUCAUUUGCUGUGGAUUUCUGGCUCCAGACACACCUAUUUCAAGCUGGAAUUUUGUGGCAUCUGCUUGGUUAUCUAUUUAAUUAUGACUAUACACUAGAAGAGAGUGGCAUUCAGAAAAGUGAAGAAACAAACCAGCAGGAAGUAGCCAACAGCCUUGCCAAACUCAGUGUCCAUGCUUUGAGUCGCCUUGGUGGAUAUUUGCCUGAAGACCAAGCAACCCCAGAAAACCCGACCGUAAGGAAGAGCUUAGCUGGCAUGCUGACACCCUAUGUUGCCAGAAAGCUUGCUGUGCUCAGUGCUACUGAGAUUUUGAAGGUGCUGAACAGUAACACUGAGAAUCCCUACUUGAUAUGGAAUAAUUCUACAAGAGCAGAACUACUUGAAUUUCUUGAAUUGCAACAAGAAAACAUGAUUAAAAAAGGUGAUUGUGACAAAACUUACGGAUCAGAAUUUGUCUACAGUGACCACGGCAAAGAGCUGAUCGUGGGUGAAGUCUUUGUCAGAGUGUACAAUGAAGCCCCUACUUUCCAGUUAGAGGUUCCAAAAGCCUUUGCUGCAAGUCUCUUGGAUUAUAUAGGCUCUCAGGCCCAGUACCUCCACACAUUCAUGGCCAUCACUCACGCUGCAAAAGUGGAGUCAGAGCAACACGGGGACCGCUUACCAAGAGUGGAAAUGGCUCUGGAGGCUCUGAGAAACGUCAUCAAAUACAACCCAGGCUCUGAAAGUGAAUGCAUCGGACACUUUAAGUUAAUAUUUUCUCUUCUUCGAGUCCAUGGAGCUGGUCAAGUACAGCAGCUGGCUUUAGAGGUUGUGAAUAUAGUGACAUCUAACCAAGAUUGUGUCAACAACAUUGCAGAAUCAAUGGUCUUGUCCAAUUUAUUGGCUCUUCUACAUUCAUUGCCGUCAAGUCGUCAGCUGGUGCUAGAAACUCUUUAUGCCUUGGCAUCCAGUACAAAAAUAAUCAAAGAAGCAAUGGCAAAGGGAGCUUUGAUUUAUUUACUGGAUAUGUUCUGCAAUUCAACACAUCCACAGGUUCGAGCCCAGACUGCAGAACUUUUUGCCAAAAUGACAGCAGAUAAACUAAUAGGUCCUAAGGUUCGAAUCACACUCAUGAAAUUUCUGCCUAGCGUUUUCAUGGAUGCUAUGAGAGAUAACCCUGAGGCUGCGGUGCAUAUCUUUGAAGGAACUCAUGAAAAUCCUGAGUUGAUCUGGAAUGAUAGUUCUAGGGAUAAAGUGUCUACCACAGUGAGGGAGAUGAUGCUAGAGCACUUUAAAAAUCAACGAGACAACCCUGAUGUAAACUGGAAGUUGCCUGAAGAUUUUGCUGUGGUGUUUGGAGAAGCAGAGGGUGAACUUGCUGUUGGAGGCGUGUACUUGAGGAUCUUUAUUGCACAACCAGCUUGGGUUCUAAGAAAGCCCAGAGAAUUUCUUAUUGCCCUGUUGGAAAAGUUAACUGAGCUCCUGGAGAAGAACAGUCCUCACGGCGAAACUCUGGAAACUUUGACAAUGGCAACAGUGUGUCUCUUCAAUGCCCAACCUCAGCUGGCCGAUCAAGUGCCACCACUGGGCCAUCUUCCCAAAGUUAUCCAGGCCAUGAAUCACAGGAACAAUGCCAUUCCAAAGAGUGCCAUUCGGGUGAUUCAUGCCCUGUCUGACAAUGAGCUGUGUGUUCGCACAAUGGCAUCUUUGGAGACAAUUGGUCCACUGAUGAAUGGAAUGAAAAAGCGAGCAGAUACUGUUGGUCUUGCCUGUGAAGCAAUUAAUCGAAUGUUUCAGAAGGAGCAGAGUGAAUUAGUAGCUCAGGCUCUGAAAGCAGAUUUGGUCCCGUACCUCUUAAGAUUGCUUGAAGGCAUAGGUCUUGAAAAUCUCGAUAGCCCUGCCGCCACGAAGGCUCAGAUUGUUAAAGCUCUCAAGGCAAUGACGCGAAGCCUGCAGUAUGGAGAACAGGUGAAUGAAAUCCUCUCUCGUUCUUCAGUCUGGAGUGCCUUCAAAGACCAGAAACAUGAUUUGUUCAUUUCUGACACACAAACAGCAGGAUACCUCACAGGUGUCUCUCCUUCCCUUCUAACUGGCAGCAGCCCCCUUCACCUCAGGAGUGGGCUUUAGAUCUGCUCUGCCAGGCAGCUUGCUAACUUCUGUGUAGCUCUCUGAAGCAGGACCUGGAGUUGCUGGCUACCUUACCGCAGGUACAUCAUCCUCAGUCAUGUCCAACCUGCCGCCUCCUGUAGACCAUGAGACAGGUGACCUUGGCUAUCAAACUUGAACCACUCAAGAGAGAACAGUAAAUGCUGAAAGGCCAGUUCUGCGUUCACAUUCCUCCAGCCAGUGGGUUGAAGCAAACUCUUACUGCCUUUCUCCUGGGUUCAUGACAGUGUUAUUCCUUUUUCUAUAAAUAUAUUUUUAUUUAGGAAACAAGUAGUGUCACGUUAUGAGAAAGCACUCUGGAUCAACCUAAAAGGGUACACAAGGAUGUUUGUUCUUGAUGUAUGGAAGCACAUUUUGUUCCUUUAUAUCUGUUUACAAGACUGUGAAUCAAAAUGACAACUUUCUUCCUAGUUUUUAUAGUACUUUUUUGAAUUAGUGUGACUGUAGGAUUAAGCUACAGUCUACAGACAUUGGGCUAAAUCAGUCAUCCCCAGAAAAGGACAUCUCCCUCUCCUGCAUCAAAUCUAUGUGGCCAUUUACCUCCUGGCGCCAGACACAUUAGGUUUUCGUCCUUUUACCUGUUCACUGGUAUCCUCAGUCACUAACUCUGGAGCUCAGCACACAUCAAUAUGUAUAACUGGCUUUACCAAAUUGAAUGAGGAAGAGCUUGUGCAAAAAAAAAAUUCAAAAAACUCCAAAUGGAUGUCAAAAGAUGUUAUGUAAGAGAUUAGUGUAAUUGUGAAAUGUUCUAUACAUUAUCAAAUAUAUAAAGCUUUCUAUAUUGAAUGUACAUUAUACAGAUCAUUCAUAUGUGUACAUAAAAUUUUAAAAAUAAAGGGAAUUGACUGCUUUGUUAAUGAGA